rnacentral:rRNA from 1 species
AGGUUAAGCGACUAAGCGUACACGGUGGAUGCCCUGGCAGUCAGAGGCGAUGAAGGACGUGCUAAUCUGCGAUAAGCGCCGGUAAGGUGAUAUGAACCGUUAUAACCGGCGAUUUCCGAAUGGGGAAACCCAGUGUGACUCGUCACACUAUCAUUAACUGAAUCCAUAGGUUAAUGAGGCGAACCGGGGGAACUGAAACAUCUAAGUACCCCGAGGAAAAGAAAUCAACCGAGAUUCCCCCAGUAGCGGCGAGCGAACGGGGAGGAGCCCAGAGCCUGAAUCAGCAUGUGUGUUAGUGGAAGCGUCUGGAAAGGCGCGCGAUACAGGGUGACAGCCCCGUACACAAAAGCGCAUGUGCUGUGAGCUCGAUGAGUAGGGCGGGACACGUGGUAUCCUGUCUGAAUAUGGGGGGACCAUCCUCCAAGGCUAAAUACUCCUGACUGACCGAUAGUGAACCAGUACCGUGAGGGAAAGGCGAAAAGAACCCCGGCGAGGGGAGUGAAAAAGAACCUGAAACCGUGUACGUACAAGCAGUGGGAGCCCCACCACUAAGCCAGUGGUGAACUCCACAUACGCAUCCUUUGCUGAGGAUACGGUUAACGGAGCGAAAGCGACGUUCAACCGCAAAAGAAGCAGAGGGGGCUUAGUGGUGGGGUGACUGCGUACCUUUUGUAUAAUGGGUCAGCGACUUAUAUUCUGUAGCAAGGUUAACCGAAUAGGGGAGCCGGAGGGAAACCGAGUCUUAAUUGGGCGUUAAGUUGCAGGGUAUAGACCCGAAACCCGGUGAUCUAGCCAUGGGCAGGUUGAAGGUUGGGUAACACUAACUGGAGGACCGAACCGACUAAUGUUGAAAAAUUAGCGGAUGACCUGUGGCUGGGGGUGAAAGGCCAAUCAAACCGGGAGAUAGCUGGUUCUCCCCGAAAGCUAUUUAGGUAGCGCCUCGUGAAUUCAUCUCCGGGGGUAGAGCACUGUUUCGGCUAGGGGGCCAUCCCGGCUUACCAACCCGAUGCAAACUGCGAAUACCGGAGAAUGUUAUCACGGGAGACACACGGCGGGUGCUAACGUCCGUCGUGAAGAGGGAAACAACCCAGACCGCCAGCUAAGGUCCCAAAGUCAUGGUUAAGUGGGAAACGAUGUGGGAAGGCCCAGACAGCCAGGAUGUUGGCUUAGAAGCAGCCAUCAUUUAAAGAAAGCGUAAUAGCUCACUGGUCGAGUCGGCCUGCGCGGAAGAUGUAACGGGGCUAAACCAUGCACCGAAGCUGCGGCAGCGACACUGUGUGUUGUUGGGUAGGGGAGCGUUCUGUAAGCCUGUGAAGGUGUGUCGUGAGGCAUGCUGGAGGUAUCAGAAGUGCGAAUGCUGACAUAAGUAACGAUAAAGCGGGUGAAAAGCCCGCUCGCCGGAAGACCAAGGGUUCCUGUCCAACGUUAAUCGGGGCAGGGUGAGUCGACCCCUAAGGCGAGGCCGAAAGGCGUAGUCGAUGGGAAACGGGUUAAUAUUCCCGUACUUGGUGUUACUGCGAAGGGGGGACGGAGAAGGCUAUGUUGGCCGGGCGACGGUUGUCCCGGUUUAAGCGUGUAGGUGUGUGUUCCAGGUAAAUCCGGUUCACUUUAACACUGAGGCGUGACGACGAGGCACUACGGUGCUGAAGCAACAAAUGCCCUGCUUCCAGGAAAAGCCUCUAAGCAUCAGGUAACAUCAAAUCGUACCCCAAACCGACACAGGUGGUCAGGUAGAGAAUACCAAGGCGCUUGAGAGAACUCGGGUGAAGGAACUAGGCAAAAUGGUGCCGUAACUUCGGGAGAAGGCACGCUGACACGUAGGUGAAGUGAUUUACUCAUGGAGCUGAAGUCAGUCGAAGAUACCAGCUGGCUGCAACUGUUUAUUAAAAACACAGCACUGUGCAAACACGAAAGUGGACGUAUACGGUGUGACGCCUGCCCGGUGCCGGAAGGUUAAUUGAUGGGGUCAGCGCAAGCGAAGCUCCUGAUCGAAGCCCCGGUAAACGGCGGCCGUAACUAUAACGGUCCUAAGGUAGCGAAAUUCCUUGUCGGGUAAGUUCCGACCUGCACGAAUGGCGUAAUGAUGGCCAGGCUGUCUCCACCCGAGACUCAGUGAAAUUGAACUCGCUGUGAAGAUGCAGUGUACCCGCGGCAAGACGGAAAGACCCCGUGAACCUUUACUAUAGCUUGACACUGAACAUUGAGCCUUGAUGUGUAGGAUAGGUGGGAGGCUUUGAAGUGUGGACGCCAGUCUGCAUGGAGCCGACCUUGAAAUACCACCCUUUAAUGUUUGAUGUUCUAACGUGGACCCGUUACCCGGGUUGCGGACAGUGUCUGGUGGGUAGUUUGACUGGGGCGGUCUCCUCCUAAAGAGUAACGGAGGAGCACGAAGGUUGGCUAAUCCUGGUCGGACAUCAGGAGGUUAGUGCAAUGGCAUAAGCCAGCUUGACUGCGAGCGUGACGGCGCGAGCAGGUGCGAAAGCAGGUCAUAGUGAUCCGGUGGUUCUGAAUGGAAGGGCCAUCGCUCAACGGAUAAAAGGUACUCCGGGGAUAACAGGCUGAUACCGCCCAAGAGUUCAUAUCGACGGCGGUGUUUGGCACCUCGAUGUCGGCUCAUCACAUCCUGGGGCUGAAGUAGGUCCCAAGGGUAUGGCUGUUCGCCAUUUAAAGUGGUACGCGAGCUGGGUUUAGAACGUCGUGAGACAGUUCGGUCCCUAUCUGCCGUGGGCGCUGGAGAACUGAGGGGGGCUGCUCCUAGUACGAGAGGACCGGAGUGGACGCAUCACUGGUGUUCGGGUUGUCAUGCCAAUGGCACUGCCCGGUAGCUAAAUGCGGAAGAGAUAAGUGCUGAAAGCAUCUAAGCACGAAACUUGCCCCGAGAUGAGUUCUCCCUGAGACUUAGAGUCUCCUGAAGGAACGUUGAAGACGACGACGUUGAUAGGCCGGGUGUGUAAGCGCAGCGAUGCGUUGAGCUAACCGGUACUAAUGAACCGUGAGGCUUAACCUUACAACGCCGA